rnacentral:rRNA from 1 species
GACGGAGGGGGCUAGCGUUGUUCGGAAUUACUGGGCGUAAAGCGCGCGUAGGCGGCGCAUUAAGUCAGAGGUGAAAGCCCGGGGCUCAACCCCGGAAUUGCCUUUGAGACUGGUGUUGCUUGAGUACGGAAGAGGUGAGUGGAAUUCCCAGUGUAGAGGUGAAAUUCGUAGAUAUUGGGAAGAACACCAGGUGGGCGAAAGGCGGCUCACUGGCUCGAUACUGACGCUGGAGGUGCGAAAAGUGUGGGGAGCAAACAGGAUUAGAUACCCCGGUAGUCC